rnacentral:sRNA from 1 species
GCUGGGCGUGGUGGUGCCUACCUGUAAUCCCAGCGACUUAGAAGGCUGAGGCAGGAGGAUUGCGAGUUCAAAGCUAGCCUCAGCAAUUUAGCAAGACCCUGUCUCUA